rnacentral:rRNA from 1 species
CCUACGGGAGGCUGCAGUGAGGAAUAUUGGUCAAUGGGCGGAAGCCUGAACCAGCCAAGCCGCGUGAAGGAUGACGGCCCUAAGGAUUGUAAACUGCUUUUGUCCGGGAAUAAAGCGCCUUACGAGUAGGGCUUUGCAUGUACCGGAUGAAUAAGGAUCGGCUAAUUCCGUGCCAGCAGCCGCGGUAAUACGGAAGGUCCGGGAGUUAUCCGGAUUUAUUGGGUUUAAAGGGAGCGUAGGCCGCAUGUCAAGCGUGCUGUGAAAUGUCCGGGCUCAACCCGGGCCUGGCCGCGGAAACUGGCGUGCUUGAGUGCGCGGAAGGCAUGCGGAAUGCGUCGUGUAGCGGUGAAAUGCUUAGAUAUGACGAAGAACCCCGAUUGCGAAGGCAGCGUGCUGGAGCGGAACUGACGCUGAGGCUCGAAAGCGUGGGUAUCGAACAGGAUUAGAUACCCCAGUAGUC